UUAGGGCCCGUUUGAUAACCAAGUUUUGGCUGGUUUGUUAAAUUAACCCGCCUCUACCGGGUGUUUGCUAGUCACAUUUAAUUACCAACGGGGCCCGUUGCAAACCAAGGCCCGCUGGUAUUCAAACGUUAAUGCUCGAUAUUUCCGAUGGAUUCCUCUUGUGCCUCGGCGGCAUAUGCUUUUGCGACGCCGGCUUUCUCGAGCGGGAUUUUCCGGCUGUCGGCUUAGCCACUUUCUUGUGCUUCUUGCUGAUGUGAGCGAGGCGGAGGCUGAGGCAGUUGGUGAGGAUGACUCUGCUUCAUCAGGUCUUGCCCCGAGCGGACGCCUCCAGCAACCGGUCGGCGACGUCGCGUGCGGCGUGGCCGGAAUCGGGGCUGCGGAGGUGGCGGAGGGCGUCAAUGAGCUUCGACGAAUAGAUGUGUUGCUCCUCUUGGGCGUCGACGUGAUUGAAAAAUCAAAGGAAAUCGACUUUCCAAUACAUCAAUCUCAAAUUUCACUCACACAAAGCCUUCACUGCUGCCAAGUGCCAACAAAGUAGAAGUAAACACACACAAACACACACCCCUCUCUCUCACACACACAUCAAAUCUUUCAAUUUCAAUGGUUUUCCUCCCUCUCUUUCUCUCUCUCUCUCUCUCUCUCUCUCUCCCUCUAGUUCAUUGUUGUUCGAGACUGCAGCUCGUAGCAGUCUGUGUUAUCCAAACACUUAUUUUUGGAGGAUUUGUGUAUGGAUAGCGAAAUUUUGAUCCGUCGAAGAAGCAAGUUAUGGUAUACCUAA